UACGGGAGGCAGCAGUGGGGAAUAUUGCACAAUGGGCGCAAGCCUGAUGCAGCCAUGCCGCGUGUAUGAAGAAGGCCUUCGGGUUGUAAAGUACUUUCAGUCGUGAGGAAGGUGUUAAGGUUAAUAACCUUAGCAAUUGACGUUAGCGACAGAAGAAGCACCGGCUAACUCCGUGCCAGCAGCCGUGGUAAUACGGAGGGUGCGAGCGUUAAUCGGAAUUACUGGGCGUAAAGGGCACGCAGGCGGUUAAUUAAGUUGGAUGUGAAAUCCCCGGGCUUAACCUGGGAAUGGCAUUCAAGACUGGUUAGCUAGAGUCUUGUAGAGGGGGUAGAAUUCCAUGUGUAGCGGUGAAAUGCGUAGAGAUGUGGAGGAAUACCGGUGGCGAAGGCGGCCCCUGGGACAAAGGACUGACGCUCAUGUGCGAAAGCGUGGGGAGCAAAC
rnacentral:rRNA from 1 species